rnacentral:rRNA from 1 species
UACGUAGGGGGCGAGGCGUUGUCCGGAAUUAUUGGGCGUAAAGAGCGUGUAGGCGGUUCGGUAAGUCUGCCGUGAAAACCUGGGGCUCAACCCCGGGCGUGCGGUGGAUACUGCCGGGCUAGAGGGUGGUGAGAGGCGAGUGGAAUUCCCGGUGUAGCGGUGAAAUGCGCAGAUAUCGGGAGGAACACUAGUAGCGAAGGCGGCUCGCUGGGCCAUUCCUGACGCUGAGAGCGCGAAAGCUAGGGGAGCGAAACAGG